rnacentral:rRNA from 1 species
UGGCGACCGGCGCACGGGUGAGUAACACGUAUCCAACCUGCCGAUGACUCGGGGAUAGCCUUUCGAAAGAAAGAUUAAUACCCGAUGGCAUAGUUCUUCCGCAUGGUAGAACUAUUAAAGAAUUUCGGUCAUCGAUGGGGAUGCGUUCCAUUAGCUUGUUGGCGGGGUAACGGCCCACCAAGGCAUCGAUGGAUAGGGGUUCUGAGAGGAAGGUCCCCCACAUUGGAGCUGAGACACGGUCCAAACUCCUACGGGAGGCAGCAG